UACGGAGGGUGCAAGCGUUAAUCGGAAUUACUGGGCGUAAAGGGUGUGUAGGUGGGAUUAUAAGUUAAUUUUGAAAUACCCGGGCUCAACCUGGGGGAGUGAAUUAAGACUGUAAUUCUAGAGUGAAGGAGAGGGUAUGGGAAUUUCCGGUGUAGCGGUGAAAUGCGUAGAUAUCGGAAGGAACACCAGUGGCGAAGGCGCAUACCUGGCCAGACACUGACACUGAGACACGAAAGCGUGGGGAGCAAAC
rnacentral:rRNA from 1 species